CCAAAGGAAACAUGCCGCUCGCCUCCUCAAUCCCCAUUCUUCUCGUUUCUACCCACCGCCCCGUCUUGUUCGCCGCCGGCAAACCCACCCUCGCCGCUCGCCGGCGCCCCCAGCCACCCAGUCCCCUCCACGCCGGUCACCCCACCUACUCAAUCCCCUCCGCCCGCAGAUCGGCCCACCUGAUUCCCCGCGCCUCCGCAAAACCUUAGAGCAUCGAGGACCUCCGCCCGGUCCUGGCCCUCACCGUUCGGAGCAAGGAGCGGCUGGAGCUGGGCGGACGAAGACGCACACGAGGAGGAGGGGACGACCUCUUCUCUUCACCGCCUCUGCCCCCACCAGUAGUCCUCGCCCAUGGCCAUGGCCCCAUCCGCCGUUCUGCUGCGCCGAGCUCCUACUCCCGGUGGCCACGAGGUCCGGUAUGAUCAGGCGGCAAACGCUCCAAGGUCCAAGAUGAGUAAGCACAAGGGAGCUCACCUUCUGAGUCCAUACCGCUUUCGGAGCAAUGCUGGAGCUGGGUCAAGAGAGCAAGCGUUGCUGGUUCGAGGCUGAGUCUUGAGUGUGACCUACCUGGGAGAAGUAAGGCAUCGCUAGGUAUCGACGUAUCGUUUCGCGCGUGCCGUGGUGUGCCACCGAUGCGACAAAGAAGCUGACCUGUUGCUGCUCUCCUCCGAUGAUAAUGGCAACAAUGUGUUGUUGCUAACCGGCCAACCUACUGUUGGAUUGAGUUACACAUUAAAGGCAGUGACAUCUGCUCCUGCUGCUGGCUAUGUCCCUCACAUGCUGCCACAGCCAGCCAGCCACUACUCUGACAUGCCGUUGAGCUACCUAUGGCUGCGGCUUCUUGUGCUGCGGCCUACCGAAACCUGGGGCUUCUGGCUCGGCAUCGAUGAAAGAUGUGGGGG